CCUUUUUAGAGAAACCUGAGAUGACUCUGGCAGGACAGCUGCUGCUCAGAGCCCACUGAGAAUACAACCAAUUAAAUGGGGAAAUACGGGAGAAGACCUCCACAGCAGGGAAGCAUGAGUCCAUCAGAAGAAUAAACAGACACGAAAUGACAGGGGGCUACUGCUUCUCGCUCCCUAAGCUGUUUAUCCUGAAUGAAAAACACUAGAAAAAUUCCACUUUGCAAAGGCUGCGCCCCUACCAUGCUCAUAAUGAAUACCAGAGGAAAAACCCUGAAGUGUGUUCAGCUGAGACCACAUCUACCUAGAGUUUUUUCUAACAAGCUUUGUUACCUGGGGCUUCAAGACCCAUUUAACCCACUCGACAUGUGGAGUCGGAUGCAGGAGUCUCUGGAAUGACGUUACCAUCACAGGUGACAACCCCAUUGAGAAGAUCCCAGUGGCAGCAGCGAUGCGGCCCUUACUCACCACCCUGGGUUUGGGGCCCCGGGAGGAUGGAGGAGAGAAGCCAAGAGAGCAAGCCAUCUGCAGCCCGCCCAGCCUGCAUGGUACCCCUCCAGCCCCUACAGAUGCAGAAGGUUGAGCAAGCUAGAAACCACUGGAAAAAUCAUCGGAAAAAGCAAGAUCUGCUUCCAGCAAAAUCCCAGCCAACAACAAGAUGGAAUGAUUUGAUGAUGAAACUGAGCACCAUUCGGACUGUACGAGCUGGAUUUUAUUAGUUUGUUUUGAAUGUCCUCUGGGGGUGGGUGGGGGUGGGGUGGGUAGGCUCAGUCUUGUGUGAGCCUUGGCCCUGGCACCAGCCCACGGCAGAGCUGGAAGUGUGGGACCUGGGGCCAGACUGCCUGGUUGGAAUCUCAGCUAGAUCUCAUACUAGCCAUGUGACCUCGGGCAAGUUCCUAAUUUCUCUGUGCCCGUUUCCUCUCUGAUAAAGCAAUGUGAUGGGCAUAUAUCUGGUAUGAUCUAGCCUUGUUCACUUAGGCAGACUUGUUUCCUUCCAUCCAGUAGUUCGCACUGUCAUUUGUUCAGUGCAUUUGUUCAUUCUUGCUCUUACCCAUUCACACCAUUCGUUACUACAUUCAUUCAGGCAUCAGUUCAUUUGUUCCUGCAUUUGUCAAUGCAUUAAUUCACACACACAUCUGGGCAUGAUCAACCCCACUGUUCAGCCUUUUUCCAGCCUGUGGGCAGACAGACCAGGCCCCAGAAAGGGCUCUGAACAUGGCUGGUAGAAAACAUGUGAUUCCUCCCAUGUCACUUAAAGGUACUGGAAUUGUAGGAUCUAGGGCAUUAUAGCAUUUGGGUCUCAUGGUCCAGGAGCCCCAGAUCUCUGCCCCACCACCCCCUCCUCCCAGGUCUCUCAGGGACUGGGCACUAAUGGGUGGACCCCGGAGGUGACCGGAGCUGCUCAUCAGAGGGAAGCCUGCCACCACUCAGUCGUGUCUGUGUGACCUGGGCUAUAUCACCUUCCCUCACUCUGCCUGGGGUGUCCUUUCACCCCGGGCUUGGGGUAGGACUUAUCUGAGCAUCCAGGUGGCUCUGGGUAGGAGAAGGCUCUGCCUUGGCUGCAUUUGCAGAGAGCAGAGGCCCUGGUUUUAUAGAGGGGUAUUAUGGUGUAAGAACACAAAAUAGCAGAGACUCUUUAUUCCAGAAAAUUAAGUCAUCCUUUUUCCUUGAGCAUCUCACUUCUGACCAAGAAAGGCUGGUGGUAGAGACUGGGCCCGGUUCAGGGCUGGCUCUGUUGACCCAAGAGGCAAUGACACAGAUCUUGUCCAAAAUCCAUUCUGUGUGUUACAGUGAUCUGAGGGCAUCCUGCAGCUAAGUGCCCACUGGUCGGCUGCAAUAAUUAAUUGAUUUUAUUGCCUAUACUUGAGGCCUCUGGAGCCUUGGCAUGUAAAUACAUGCAAAUGAGCAGAGGAGCGGGUUGAAUCCAAAGCCUGGGGGAGUAUCUGCCUGGAUUGGGCUAAUUUCUCUGCUCACCUUUCCUGCUGUAAUCCUACUGUGUUCUCAGGGAGCAGGAGAGUGGGGGACAAGGAGAAGGGGCCUUAGAGCCAGAGACACCUGGGUUCAAAGCCCAGCCCACCCCUUCCUGCUGUGUGUGGUCGUGGGCGAGUCCCUGCACCUCUCACUCUACCUGUCUCCAUCAUUGCGGGGCGGGGGUGGGUGGGGGGUGGGUAAUGAUCCUCCUGCCCUGCAGGGCUCUCAUGGGCCUGAGGAAGCAGCACUCAGGAAACAUGCCUCACACCCUUGCUGUAAGAAGCAGUGCAGCUUAGAGCUCCUAAAUUAUGUAUUUCUGAGGUGGCGGGGAGGAGAGUGCAGUCAUCUGGGCUUCGCAGCCCUGGCAGAGCAAGUGCUCCUUGAAAGGAGGUGUUGUGAUUUCCCCUAAUGAAUGAUGGCAAUUGCUCCUUAAUCCAGCCCUCGCCUCCUUUCCCAUCCAGUACGGUACGUUUUAUGUGUGACCUUUGCUGAAACACAACAAUCUCUCUUCACAUAUUGGGGGAAUUACAAGAAAGCUUGGAAUUUAAACAUCCUGAAAGAUUUAUUCUAUGUAGUGGGUGGAAUAACCCUCACAAAAAACAUACAAAUUAUGUUAGGAGAAGUAGGUCUGAGGUGGGCUCCAGGCCUGGCUGGAGCCUCUGAUGAGUGGGGCUGGGGACUGGAGGCUGCUCUGAUCAAGGGUUCAUGCAGAAGCUUCUUUGAUUCUUGGUUCUGUCUGCAUUGUAUGCAAGUUAUAGCAUUUGAUGGGCUUUGUCAGGACUGGUGGGUGCUGAGGUUUACUGAGCACCUACUGUGCGCCAGGGCUGCCCCAUCAACCCAUGUGCUGUCCCCUGACAUGGACAUGGCCACUCCCACUGUCCCGGAGGGGAGUCUGAGUUCCUGAGGAUGACUGACUUGUCCCAGGCCACUCAGCUCGUUAAGUGGCAGGAGGGGAAUUUGAACCCAGGUCUGGUUGACCCCAAAGUCCCUGCUUUUCCCCUGACCCCAUACAGGAGGGACAAGGGGACUUGUACAUCAGGGGGAGCUGAGACUGCAGACAUUGGUGGUAGGACUUGCCACUGAUCCAAGCCUGGGCUAGGUCCACAGUUAGUUCAGCUCAACGUUGGGUCUUUUCCUGUGAAGCACAGGCUGCUCACUUGGAGGUGGGUCCCAUGAGGGCUGUUCCUGGGCCCCGGGAAUGCACAUCUCACUGGAGGAGCCAACAUUCCAAGCAGACAGUGGGGAGAGAGAUAUGAUGGCAUUCUGGGGAAGCCCAAGUCACCCCUGAAGAGGCAGGCUGUGGAGACGACACUGAACUCACAAACGGGCUAGGAAGGGCACCUGGGCAGGGGGCUGGGAGGAGCGGAGGCCGGGGUGGGAGUCGACUGGCAGAUGCAUUCAUUGAGCAAACCUCCAUUGAUACCACCAAGGAAACUUGUUGUUCUCUCCACUGCAUCCUGUUCUCCCCCACCUUUUUUCUCUUUCUCCCCACUUCCUCCUCCUUGUCUCCUCCUCUUCCUCUUCCUUACUCUUCUCUUCUUCCUCCUUCUUUUCUCCUCCUCUUCUUUCUCUUUCUCCUUCCUCUCUUCUCUUCCUCUUUUUCUUCCUCCUCUCUUCUUCCUCCUCCCCUCUUCCUCCUUGCUUCCUCUUCCUCCUCUCCCUCCUCCUCCCUCUCUUCUUCUCUUCUUCCUCUUCCUCCUCUCCCUUCCACAUCCUCCUCCCAUUCUCCUCCUCCAGGUAGAAUUAACCCCUGCUAUCUUCCAGGUCCCAGUGUAGGCAGCACCUCCUUGGGGAGCUCCCUGAUCCCCCAGGAUGGGCUAGGGGACCCUGUAGCUCCCACACCCUCUGUGUCUCCCUCAUCAGAUCCCACGGUGCUGCCAUCAUCUGUUCCUCACUGGACUGGGGGCCUGGAGGGCAGUGAUGGCUUCUCUGUCCCCGUGGUGACUGAAUAGCUCUGCCCUCCCUGGCUGCGGGGGCUGGACCAGUUUCCUCACCACUCAGACCUCAGUGUCCUCCUGUCAGAGGGGUGGUAGUCCACAUCCCCCAGGCUUGUGCGAGGGCUCAGGCACAAUGAUGGCGCUGGCAAGGUGUGAGCUCCGCUAGUCUCAGCCUCCCCUCCUCCCUCUGGGCUUCCUUCCUCCUAUCCGUCCUCAUCUCCACCUCUGAGGGGCCUGGGCUCCAUUCUCCUGCAGGACACCCCACCUCCCAACCUUCAGAGGAGAGAUAAUGAAAACCUCCUCCAGCACCAUGUCCUAAAGUUCCCGCUUAAUUACUGGUGCGGUGCGCUGAGCAGCUACGGCUGCGCCUUUCCAGCUCUGGCGCCACAUGGAGUGCGAGACACCUGGCUCCUCCCUGACGCACUUCUUUCUGUUUCUGCCCUUCAGGCUUUGUGUCUGUCUGAAUCUGCGUCUGUUUCUCUGUGUUUUAUAUUUGGAACUCAGGAGCGAAUGACGAUACUUUAUAGAGAUGAAUGGAGGUGGGAACAGAGAUGUCCUGGGGGCAGGACCCCAGUUGGGGGUCACACAGCUAAUGACAGAGACAGAAUUCAAACCCAUUAAUUAACACACUAAUUCAUGUAAUGAAUGUUUAUCAAAGUGCAGUUCUGUGCCACAGCUUGGAAGGCCUGAAUUUAAUAAAAUCCAAC
rnacentral:lncRNA from 1 species